CCAAAUAUAGGGAAUGAGGUUCUCCCUUGGUUUUUACCUAAACUGCUAUUACAGCUGAUGACUUCUAUGAUUUU
rnacentral:ncRNA from 2 species